AUUGAACGCUGGCGGCAGGCCUAACACAUGCAAGUCGAGCGAGCGGCGGACGGGUGAGUAAUGUAUGGGGACUGCCCGAUAGCGGGGGAUAACUACUGGAAACGGUAGCUAAUACCGCAUACUAUCGGAUAACCCAUAUGGGAUUAGCUAGUAGGUGAGGUAAUGGCUCACCUAGUCGACGAUCCCUAGCUGGUCUGAGAGGAUGAUCAGCCAAACGGGGACGGGGAAACGGCCCAGACUCCUACGGAGGAAGCAGUGGGGAAUAUUGGACAAUGGGCGCAAGCCGGAUGCAGCCAUGCCGCGUGUAUGAAGAAGGCCCUAGGGUUGUAAAGUACUUUCAGUCGGGAGGCGUUACCGAAAGAAGAAGCACCGGCUAACUACGUGCCAGCAGCCGCGGUAAUAC
rnacentral:rRNA from 1 species